GAUGAACGCUGGCGGCGUGCCUAAUACAUGCAAGUCGAGCGAACGGACGAGAAGCUUGCUUCUCUGAUGUUAGCGGCGGACGGGUGAGUAACACGUGGAUAACCUACCUAUAAGACUGGGAUAACUUCGGGAAACCGGAGCUAAUACCGGAUGAUAUUUUGAACCGCAUGGUUCAAAAGUGAAAGACGGUCUUGCUGUCACUUAUAGAUGGAUCCGCGCUGCAUUAGCUAGUUGGUAAGGUAACGGCUUACCAAGGCAACGAUGCAUAGCCGACCUGAGAGGCUGAUCGGCCACACUGGAACUGAGACACGGUCCAGACUACUACGGGAGGCAGCAGUAGGGAAUCUUCCGCAAUGAGCGAAAGCCUGACGGAGCAACGCCGCGUGAGUGAUGAAGGUCUUCGGAUCGUAAAACUCUGUUAUUAGGGAAGAACAUAUGUGUAAGUAACUGUGCACAUCUUGACGGUACCUAAUCAGAAAGCCACGGCUAACUACGUG
rnacentral:rRNA from 1 species